GACGGUGGCAGAGGUUAGGGUGCGACGCUGACAUGGCCAAGGCAUAGGAGCGACGACGAGGCUAGGGUUUCUACUGAACACUGUUUAGGUUUUAGGCCAUUAGGGUUUUUUUGCUUAUUUUGGGCCAUUUGGGCCUCUCUUUUUUUUGUAAUUGGACUGGACUAUUUUUAUUUGGUUUUAUUUAUUUUGUUAUUUUUGUUCAUAGUGGGCCGGGAAGAAUUGGCUUGUUACAAACGUAAACUAGACAAGGUAAGUAAGAUGAAC
rnacentral:lncRNA from 1 species